UAAACACAUUUAUAAUAAAUGUCUAAAAUGAAAUUUUGUAACAUUGCUUUUUGAGUAGGAGUGUU